CACGUGUAUCACCUUCACUCGCGCAGCGUGUGCGGAGUCUCGUACCUGUGCGCCAUGUUUGGGCAGUUUGGAUGCAAACAAAACAAUGGAUUAUUUACCAAGAUAUAUGAAUGUAUGAACUUAUUUCGAUAAAACACUUCCGAGUUUUUACUCUGCAGAAAACUGACGAGCAACCCAACCCACCAACAGACGAGGAAGAUGAGGAUGAUAAUCACAGUGGUCCAGCAUAUACAAAGAGAGUGAUGCUAAAUAUAAGCAGACUAUACAGAUGCUCAUCUCUGCCAAAACACACGUGACUACAACACAAACACAGCAUCACAGUUCAUCACUUUACUUGUAACCAACAGAAGCUGAAGGAAUGGCAAGGUGCUUUGGGGACAAUGAGAAAAACUCAAAAGAAGAUACUUUGAAGAAUGCUGGUAAUCAAACCCAACAAGUUUGUCAGGUGCAGAAAUAAAAGCUCCCAAACAAAGAUGUCACCGGAUUAAGAUGUGGAAAGACAUGUUACACAACAACAACCAUAAUUCCUGAGUAAUUUGAAAAUGGGCAACAACCAAGGAAAACUCUGCCAUUUACUAAUGGGUUAUUCAAAACACAAAGUUUUGGUGUAUCUUUACAAUAAGGUAUCAUUAGUUAACAUUAGUAAAUGUUGAAAUUAACAUUAAAUAAUGAGCAAUACAUUUGUUACAAUUUGCAUUAAUCUUUGAUACUGUUAAAAAACAACAACUGUUCUUUGUUAGUUCAUGUUGGCUCUGAUCCAUUAAAUAAUGUCAACAGGCACAACUUUUGUUCUUAAUGUAUUAGUAAAUGUUGAAAUUAACUAGGUUAAUAUAUUAACUACAGUUAAGUAAGGUUAAUGUUAAGUAUUUGUCAUGUUAGUUCAUGUUGGGUAGGUAACUAAUGUUACAAAUGAAACCUUAUUGUAAAUUGUGAAGUAUCACCUGUGUUUAUUGUUUAUAUGUGUUAAAUUAUUUAUACAUAAGUAUAAAUAAAUGUAAGGGUAAUUUAGUUAAAUGGUAUGUUUUUCAUAUUUAUAUAAACUUUGUCUAACUUGUUUUUUUUUUUUGUCUUCUUUUUUUGCUGUAAUUGCAUCGUUUUGUAAAUAAAUUGUUCUCAUGCCAACUUAAUCCAGUGAGUUCUUUACUUUUAAAUGCAUUUAUCAUAAUGAGAUGAGUUAGGGUUAGCGGUAAGUAAACAUUUUGGCAACGUAUCAGUUUUAAAUGAAAGAUUAGUGAACACUAAAGAAGAUAUUAAAAAUGAAUCUGGGCCAUGCCCGG
ensembl:lncRNA